rnacentral:rRNA from 1 species
UACGUAGGUGGCAAGCGUUGUCCGGAUUUAUUGGGUUUAAAGGGUGCGUAGGCGGUUUUUUAAGUCAGUGGUGAAAUACUUCAGCUUAACUGGAGAGGUGCCAUUGAUACUGGGAAACUUGAGUACUGAUGAGGUAGGCGGAAUGGACGGUGUAGCGGUGAAAUGCUUAGAUAUCGUCCAGAACACCGAUAGCGAAGGCAGCUUACUAAGGAGUAACUGACGCUGAGGCACGAAAGUGUGGGGAGCAAACAGG